rnacentral:snoRNA from 12 species
UGGAGGACUGAGAAGGUGAGGCAGUUCUGUACUGUGCUGCCUUCCACUGGUUAAGACCUCCAAAAGUGAAGAGCUGCCCAGGCAGAGGAUGCCCCUCUGCCACCCUCAGAGGGGCAACGCUGUGCUGGCCGACAUUUC